UUGCUAGUCACAAAUGGCGUCUAUUUCUUGAAAAGCUAACAAAAAUGUCUCCAAUUACAGUAAAUAAAGGGAUUUUCAAGAAUCUUCAGGUAAUGAAAAGUCCAAAGUAGUUACGAACUUGUUGAUUAUUUAGGAUUUCCACGAUAAAAAAAGAAAAAGUAUGUAAUGGCCGACAAGCCAAAAGCUAUAGGCUCGUCUGUUAUCUACCCUAAACGGAGUAAAUAGUAUCAUAUACUACUAAGCUGAAAUGAGAAGAGGAACAAUAGUGUAUCUGGAAUGGCUUUCGGUGAGAAAGCUGAAAAAUUUCUAGCCUCACCAAAACCAGUAGAAUUUUCUCAACACUUCAGAAAGAGUUUCUCGGUUGAAGAAUUAAGUAACGAUGUGUAAUGUUGUGGCAGAAGAGGAACCAUCAUCUGAAAAGAAAACCAGUCUAGCUGGUAAUGAAAGCACAAAGCAUUUAAACAGUGAAGAGACAUGUUCAACUGAGGUUAUAAAAGAGAUUACAAAUAUUGGUAUCGCUGAUGACCAAACAACUUGAAGAAAUCUAGCCUCACAGAAAGCCACUGAAUAUUCUCUGCAUAGAAAGCAUUGUUCAGAAGAAAUGAAGUUUGAUCUUGAGUCUGAUGAGGAAACAUCGUUAACUGGAAAAAAGCGAUCUAAUGCAGCCGGUGGUAAAAGCAAAAAAGGAUUUAAAACACUGACGGGCUGGCAUGUUCAACAAGCUGCUCCUUGAGUUAAGCACAGCCAUCUGGAAUCAAAAAGGAAAAUGUCGAUGAAUUUUCUUCUAAGGAUGAAUUUUAAAAACGAAAAAGGCAACCAAAGGGGAAAAAGCUUGAAAAAGCAUAGCAAGCCAAGCCAAAAAAUGGGAAAAAGAAUCCAAAAGCCCAUGAAGUGACCAAAAAUAUUCCUGCCGAAUGUACAUCGUGUGAUGAUUGCGUAUCACUAACUGAAAAUGUGUUUGCGACCAAAACAGAAAAUGAAGGUAUGUUACCAAUAAUACAACGCGGAUUAAUUUGUUUUAUUAUUUUUUAAAAAUACUAUAUAAAAUUUUAGGUUUCCUUGCAAUGGAAGAUAGUGGUCUGAUAACAGAUAUGGUUGCUGAAGAAUCAUCUGCGCACAUAGAAAACGAGCAAAGUUGUGGUUUGUGUGCGGCUUCGGGAAGUAUCGAAAAUGUCGUCGCUGGAACAAAGGUUUCCAAAGUAAAAAUGGAUCAACGAUAGUAAUAGUGAUUCUGAACAAGAUUUCGAAUCGGAAAUGAAGGACCAGUCCAGGGUCAGGCUCAUUGUAAAUAAACAUAGUAAAUCUAACAGUAUCAAAGCUAUCCGAAAGUCUGAAAAUGUUUCUCGUAUCAAUGAGAAAAAAGAUGCAAAGAUAUCAUGCAAUUAUUUUCGAACCAAAAAAAGGUUGAGGGUGUUAUAAAAGUUAUUGGUUUUCAUGUGUUGCAUUUAAGAUCUUAAGACCAUUAAAAUGCAGUUUUCAGUGUUUGAUUAAGGAUAUCAAAAUACACAUGUUGUAGAAAGUA